rnacentral:tmRNA from 1 species
GGGGAUGUAUUGAUUCGACGUAAUAUGCUCAUUAACAUCUGCAGACCGUCUUUGACCUAAAGACGUUAAACAAGGUUAAAACAUAACUGCAAAUAAAACUCGCAGUCAAGUUGCAGGUAACGGCUUUUUUAGCCCAAUAAUGGAGACCCUUGGGUCUGCAUUUAAACCAGCAGCUCCACAAAUGCUUUACGCAUAAACUGGCAUUCAUGAGCCUAAUUUCACUAGCGUUGACUCAUGGGUGAAACCUUAGUUAGUGUGACAAUGAAUUAUUGCUUGCCAUGAUUCAUCUAAGAUUUAUGACAAGCCUUAAGUAAAAUCCGUUUGUUUAUUCACGUUUUACUUAAUAUGAAAGAUAAACUAAGUCUGUAGGUGGUGUUAUUGUUCAGUUGCGGACGCGGGUUCACUACCCGCCAUCUCCACAU